rnacentral:lncRNA from 1 species
CCUAACUCUCUCCUCCUCUGUAGGUAAUAUCAUCUCGGCAUGACGGGAGAGCUCAUGGAACCUAGUCUCGUACUCCGCCACCGACAUGGAGCCCUACUCCAACCUGCAGAACUGAUCCCUGAGGCGGUCUCUGACGCUACGAGGAAUAAACUUAGCCAAGAAGGCCUCAGAAAACUCAUCCCAUGAUACUGGUGGAGAUCCAACUGGCCUGGUCUGAAUGAAUGUGCGCCACCACUGCCUGGCUGGCCCAUCUAGCUGGUAAGCAAUGAAGUCGGCCCCUCUAGACUCCACAAGGCCCAAAGUGCGAAGCCUCUCACGGCAAGUCGUAAGAAACUUGUGAGCAUCCUCACCCACAA